rnacentral:misc_RNA from 1 species
AAAGCUCCAUAAUUCCUUGUUGCCUGCAAGAAAAAGAUAUAUUUUCAGGUUCAGGUACAGCUAUAAAGUGAAAAUAACCAAUAGAACACACACAUAAAUAUCAAAUCCAUCUAGAACAUCAUAUUAUAACCCAUGGAGUUGUAUGCAACAGACCAUAUCCAAAUAUGAAACAACACUACUUGCAGAAAUAUACAAGGAGUAUCACUUCAUCUUUCUAGUUAAGAAAUUGAUGACUCCCAUUAACCAGUUAACCUUCAAGGAAACAUCAUAGAUGGUUGGGCAGAGGUAUUCACUUUCUCUAGCAAUAACAGGUAUUAUGUCCACCAUUGCAGCAAUCAAUCAAGUCAUAAGAAUAGACACAAUAGGUAAAAGCUGUCCUUAAGCUAGAAAUCAGCUAUCCCCUCAAAAAUCAUUUAUAACCUGCUCCAAAAACUCAAAUAUGACAAUUCCCUUUCGUCCUCCAUGUUUUGCUAGUAAGAAUAUACAUGUUACCAUUAUUUUUCAAUAUUGCACUCUCCAAAAGAUAUCAAAUACUGUAACAAAGAGGAUAGAUAAUUUCAAGCCUUAACAAAAAUAAUGGAUGUGAAAGUUUUUGCCUGAAGAUAAUUAAGGGGCUGCCCCAUUUUUUCACAAAAAUCACUUCAAUAGAAUUGCCAAGGUAAAACAUAGCAAAAUUCUAAAUUAAUUAUAGCAAUUUUAGAUGCCUACUUAAGACAGAACAUAAUAAAGGUAAUAUGGAUUCUAAAACUAAAGGGCUAAGUAAAGGUUGAUGAUAGCAGUUUGGAGCAACCAGAUUUUGGUAAUUAAAGUAGAGAGGAAGUAUAUGCCCAAUUAAAUUCCCAAGUGAGAAUAAAACUAUGGAAACAAAUUAAUGCACAUUACCACUAAAGUCGUGACUACAACUCCCAUUAACCUGUCUACGGUGAAGAUUGGGAACCAGAACAAAGAAAUAGAAUAAAAUAUGUCUACCCUAACACACUAAUUUUAGAUUAAUGCAACUGAGUUUCAAUAUUUAAGCAAGUCGCAGACAAAUACAGGACAAAUACUGUAAAAAGGGAUAUAGACAAUGUAAAAAAGAAUCAUACCGUAAAAAAGAACUAAAAUCAAAUCAAUAUGAGAUGAAGUUAAAUGAGAGCAGAAAUUAAG